AUCUGUGUCGAAUCAAGCAUCUGUUUUGAGAAUUGAUAGAUAAAAGCUUUGUUGUUUUGUGAUUGUAUUUGGAUUUUUAGAAGGAAAAAAAAACGCUGACUUUGUUUCUUUUCGUUCUCUAUCUCUCUCUCUGUUGAUCACGAAAACCGUAUCCAUCUGAGUCGAAUCGAAAGGAUGCAUCUGAGUCGAAUUGAAACAGCUGAGUCAGAUCGUAAGGUAAAUAAUUAGUGAAAGAGUGGAGCUCUCAGGUGGUGAUCACUAGCAUUACUAUAGGAAGCCUUCUAUUGCUUAUUGGAAGCCAUCAGAAAGAAAAGGUACGUUAUUGGAACAACAUCAAGAAUGGCUUUUCUAGUGAACUGAUCUUAGUGAUGGUCGGUUGUGGCUUUAAGCUUCUUGUUCUGUUUUAUGUAGUUUUUGUUAUGGAAAAACGUAUCACGGUUUUAAUGUAGUUUAAAUGUUCUUGGUUAUUGUCAAAUGUUCCUGGUCUUGAUCUUCUUCUAUUUUCUCAUUGUUUCAAAUUUUCUUGUUGUUCUUGUUGAUCUUGUUUAUCUUCAAUAAAAUUAUGUUUAUUUUUUUAA